AAUUAAUAGCUUAUUUUAGUUGAUUUUUGGUUUGUUUUUGAUAAAAAUAUUUUAUAUUUUAGUAAUUUUAAUAGAAAUAAUUUUUAUUAUUAUAGUUUAUUGUACCGUGAGGGGUAGUUUAUAAUUUUUUGAAAGUAUUUUUUGUUUGAAGUACCUUUUGUAUCAGGGUUCAUUAAUUUUAAUGGAUUAAUUUCCUUUUCCCGAAAAUAAAAGAUUUAAUAUAAAAUGUUUCUUUAUGUUUCAUAAUAAUAUGAAAUUUUAUAUUCGAUGUGAUAUGUAAUUCGGUUUUAUUAUAUCUGGUUUUUUAAUAAAUGAAUUUAAUUCAGGUAAUUUUGUAUUACUAAUAAUUUUAUUUUAGUAAUAUUUCUUUUUCUAAUACAAAAGGGGAUAAGCUCUCUUGUAGUUCUAAAUUUUUUCAGAAAAAAUUUUAUGUAGGCUUAAAAACGGCCAUCUUAGAUUUCGUUAUAGUUCAUUUUUUGAUUUGAUUAAUUUUUUAUUUGUUUAGAAUAUUAUUAAAAUUUCUUAUUUAAUAAUUUUUUAUUUUAAUAAUGAUGAAAUUAGUAGUGUUGUAAUUUUGGAAAUAGUAACUCGGCAAAUAUAACUUUCGCCUGUUUAACAAAAACAUGUCCUUUUGUUUUUAUAUAAGGUCGGCCCUGCCCAAUGAUUUUUAAUGGCCGCAGUAUUUUAACUGUGCAAAGGUAGCAUAAUCAUUUGUCUCUUAAUUGGAGGCUCGUAUGAAUGGGUUGACGAAAAGUUUACUUUCUUUUUCCAAUUUUUAUGAAUUUAAUUUCUCAGUCAAAAAGCUGAGAUUUUUUUGGAGGACGAGAAGACCCUAUAGAUCUUUAUUUAUUUUAGUAUAGGUUUUAUUUGGUUAUGAUUUUAAUUUAUGUUAAAAUAAAUUUUGUUGGGGCGAUACUGAGAUUUAUUUAACUCUUGGUUUUUAGUUUUCAUUAAUUAAUGUUUUUUUGAUCCAGUAUUAUUGAUUAUAAGAUUAAGUUACCUUAGGGAUAACAGCGUAAUUCUUUUGGAGAGUUCAUAUCGAUAAAAGGGUUUGCGACCUCGAUGUUGGAUUAAAAUUAAUUUUGGGUGUAGGAGCUCAAUAAAUUAAGUCUGUUCGACUUUUAAUUUUUUACAUGAUCUGAGUUCAGACCGGCGUGAGCCAGGUUGGUUUCUAUCCUCAAUACUUUGUAAUAUUUUAGUACGAAAGGACCAAAUAUUAGGAAUAAUUUUUAUUUUAUGAGUAAAAUUAAUUU
rnacentral:rRNA from 1 species